UUUGGUGACUUUAGCAAUGGUGUCCACCUCUUCCCAUUCCGAACAGAGAAGUUAAGCCCAUUAGCGCAGAUGAUACUAGAGUAAUAUCUGGGAAAGUAUGUCGUUGCCGGAA
rnacentral:rRNA from 1 species